rfam:Triticum aestivum genome assembly, contig: Triticum_aestivum_CS42_TGACv1_scaffold_487743_6AS
GUUCUACUCCCUCCGUCCGAAAAAACUUGUCCCAAGCUUGUCCAUCAAAUGGAUGUAUCUAGCACUAACUUGGUGCUAGAUACAUCCAUUUGAGGGACAAGCUUUUUCAGACGGAGGGAGUAUACA